GUUUUAAUAGUUAAAUUAUAACCAUGAUUUUGUAUGUCAUAAUUAGCUUAAGCUUUAAAACU
rnacentral:tRNA from 1 species